rnacentral:rRNA from 1 species
CUCAGUUCGGAUUGUAGGCUGAAACUCGCCUACAUGAAGCUGGAGUUACUAGUAAUCGCAGAUCAGAAUGCUGCGGUGAAUGCGUUCCCGGGUCUUGUACACACCGCCCGUCACACCACGGAAGUUGGGGGCGCCCGAAGCCACUUAGCUAACCCAUUUGGGAAGCGAGUGUCGAAGGUGAAAUCAGUAACUGGGGUGAAGUCGUAACAAGGUACC